UGACAAUUGUACUAUGAUGUAAUGUAAGAGAUUACAGUAUGUUAUGUAAUGAGGUAUAUUGAGGUUAUAGUUGUGCUUGACCCUAUGAGUAUUGUAAUCCCUUGUUGAUACAUGAUCUUAAUGUCUAUUGAUGUUUAUGUUUAACCAACUCAACUUAUAAUGUAUCGCCCAUUGGGGCAUUGAUGAGAUCCCACUGAGGGGUCAAGUUUAUGAAUAUGUUAGUGCAUGCACAGGUUGAGUUUGGUGUAUGAG
rnacentral:lncRNA from 1 species